rnacentral:rRNA from 1 species
UGAGGAAUAUUGGUCAAUGGGCGCAAGCCUGAACCAGCCAUCCCGCGUGCAGGAAGACGGCCCUAUGGGUUGUAAACUGCUUUUCCAGGGGGAGAAUUUUUCUGUCGUGACAGGAAUUGACGGUACCCUGGGAAUAAGCAUCGGCUAACUCCGUGCCAGCAGCCGCGGUAAUACGGAGGAUGCGAGCGUUAUCCGGAUUUAUUGGGUUUAAAGGGUGCGUAGGCGGAUUGAUAAGUCAGUGGUGAAAACCUGCAGCUUAACUGUAGACUUGCCGUUGAUACUGUCAGUCUUGAGUGUGGUAAAGGUAGGCGGAAUGUGUAAUGUAGCGGUGAAAUGCUUAGAUAUUACGCAGAACACCGAUUGCGAAGGCAGCUUACUGGGCCAUUACUGACGCUGAUGCAUGAAAGCGUGGGGA